AGUAACACGUGGGUAACCUGCCCAUCAGAGGGGGAUAACAUUCGGAAACGGAUGCUAAAACCGCAUAGGUCUUCGAACCGCAUGGUUUAAAGAGGAAAAGAGGCGCAAGCUUCUGCUGAUGGAUGGACCCGCGGUGCAUUAGCUAGUUGGUGAGGUAACGGCUCACCAAGGCCGUGAUGCAUAGCCGACCUGAGAGGGUGAUCGGCCACAUUGGGACUGAGACACGGCCCAA
rnacentral:rRNA from 1 species